AGACUGCGGCGGGUGGGGGAUGGCCGGAGGGAGCGCUCGGAGCCCGCGAGGCACUUCGGGGGGCGGCGGCGGGGGGUGUCCCCAGGGUCGGUGGGGCGGGGGGGGGGGGCUGCUGCGCGCCGCGUGUCCACCUCUGGCUCCGUUCCCAUCGCCCCCCGGGCCGCCCCGCGCCCGCCCUCCCGUCUCCCUGCAAAGCCGCAGCGCGGCCUGGCGGCGCCCGGCCCGGCCCCCCCCUCACAUGGCCCGGCCGCGCGAGCCACGUGCGCGCUGUGUUUACGUUCGGCGGCGCGCGGUCGCCGGUUGGCUGGGCGGGCGCGUGACGCGGCAUUACAUAAUGGGCGCUGAGGCGGCGGCGGCGGGCGGGGACACGUGAGGCCGCUCGGCUCCCUGACCCACAUUCCCCGGGGCCGCAGGGACACGUGGGGGCGGGCGCGCGCGCGCGCGCGCUGGCUGGGAGCGCCGCAGCCUCCCGGGAGGCUCCACCCCUUUGGAAGCCUCGGGGCAGUGACGUCGCCGCGAUUCCCUCCUCCCCCGCGGGGUUGCACACUGCGGAGGAGGCCGCGCGUGCGCGCCCGCUGAGCACCGCGGCGGGGCGUCCCCGAGGCGGGCGCUGACUCCGCAGUGCACCGGGCGCUGCAAGCUCUUUUCGCGAGGUGACCCCAAGGCGCGGACCCCGCGCAAACCAAACGAACCGGCGCCUGGGGAGGCUGGUAGCUGCACACCUUGCAGAUUCCGAGGAGGAAGUGCGGGGCGAGGGCGUGUUGCAGUCUGGAGGAGGCGCCUUGGGGAAGGCUUGGGGCUUUCCCGAAGGGAUACGCUGGAAGGAGCUCCGAGGACGCGACCUGUCUCAUACACCCACAGUCUUAAAAACUGCUUCCGGAUCCUUUCGGGCUGGAGUUUUCCUGUAAACGGGUCACACCGGGAGCUGAGCGUGCAGCUCACGUAUGGUCAGGAUGACUCAGGUGAUCAUAGGUGACUCCAGCACCAUAUGUGAGACUGGCCAUUCUUCAUUUAAAUUAAAAAAAAUUAACCUAUGGGUCGCUGGCUUUUCCUGAAUCUGAUCAAGAGAAUUUGGAUUUAUAAAUAUUUUUCGUGCCACAUUUUGUUACAUUGCAAGGGAACAACAGGGUGCCCUUCCCUCCUUUUGUCUGCCCAAAAUGAUGGGGCAGAUCUGAAGUGAGUGAGGUUAUGGAAACAGCCAGCUUUUGUUUUAUUUUUUGAGUUGUAAUGCGCCUCUAAGAAUCUUGCCUCGAUAACAAGUGUAUUGUGAACUUUUCACGAAGAGUAAAAAUAAAGUCAUUUUCUAAUUGUGUUUUACGUGUUUUUAGAAUUUGCUUAUUUUUUUUAACCUGUUGCCUCACAAAAAUCUGGAUCUAAUUGUGUUUUGAUUACCUAAUGGGCCUACUUAGCCUUUGCGGAUAUUUUUACAAUUUUAUGAGUUUAUCAUAGAAUUAAACUUCUACAUGUUAGAAUUUAGAGGUGAUCAGGGUGAACCUCUUCUAACCCACCCUUUAGCGUGAAUUCUAAUAGCUUUAGUAACCUCAUAAGGGCUGGCUCAAUUAGGAAGUUAUUCUCUUUUUUGAGCCCUCUUCCAAUACUCGCUGAUCAAAAUCUUGCCUUGUGGAACUACACAUUAUAAAAAUUCCUCCGGUUGAAUGUUGACCAUCCCCUUCCCCCUUCAGUUCUUCCAUUUACAGUUGUCAUCUCUUGGUCCUUGCCCAGCGUUGUUUUUUCUGAUCACUCAUCAUCCUUGUUGCCCUUUGAGAUGGAGCACCCGGAAGUGAACAGGGUCUUGUGGAAGUGGUUGGAUAAUUAUCAAGUUCCAGUUGCCCUCUUUGUCUUGGAUCCUGCUGCAAAUGAAUUCCUUGGCAGGCUUAGUAUUUUUGGCAUGUUGCUUUGCUGACUCACAGUAACCUUGCAGUCAACUAGGACCUUUCACGUGAACUAUUAUGAGGUUAGAUUUCAUUCAUUGUGUAGAUAAUUGCAUGACUUGAAGUGUAGGAAUUUACAAUGACCAUUCUUAAAAUUUCUCUUGUUCAUUUGGCCUUAAGUUCAAAGCUGUUACAAGCUGCUACCCACCAUCUUUACAGUUUCUGCCAUCUAUCUGUAAGCGGGAGGUCUAAUAAGAAUUCCCUUUAACUGGCCGGGCACAGUGGCUCACGCCUGUAAUCCCAGCACUUUGGGAGGCUGAGCUGGGCGGAUCCCCUGAGGUAAGGAGUUCGAGACUGGCCUGGCCAACAUGGUGAAACCCCGUCUCUACUAAAAGGACAAAAAUUAGCUGGGCGUGGUGGUGGGCUCCUGUAAUCCCAGCUACUCAUGAGGCUGAGGCAGCAGAAUAGCUUGAACCUGGGAGAUGAAGGUUGCAGUGAGCGGAGAUCUCGCUACUGCACUUCAGCCUGGGCGACAAGAGCGAGACUCCAUCUCAAAAAAAAAAAAAAAAAAGCCUUUUAACUUUCGAAUUUUUGUAAACAUUGAGCAAGGUGGGGCCAGAUUCAGUGCUGUGUGACACACCUCUACCCUUCCCUCUAGUUUGGUAUCAGUUGACAAACAUUCAACCAGUGAUCGUGUACUCUUACUGUCCUUCAUGACAUCUCUAUGUCUGCUCGCCCCAUGAGUAACACGUGAAAACAGUGGAGUGAAAAACUUGGAAAAAAAUUGGAGAGGUGGGGCAAAGAAAUCUUUCCUUGGAGCAAGGAAAAGCAAGAAUUGAAGAAAGAAGUUGCUCAACUGGUUAGUAGGGUUAAGAGAUUCAAAAAGUAGUGUGGAAAUAACCUACAAAGAAACCACUGGAUCCUUAAGACACAUUAAAAAAUGAGAUGAAUAAUGGAUAGGGAGGAUAGUUACUUUGGUUUGAACCAUUCUGAUGGAACUCUUCUAGUAUAAUGAUGACAAAAAAAUAAUCAUCAGCUUCUUACUCUGUGCCAGGCCCUUUACAUGUGUUCCUCAUGUUAAUUCCAUGAAGGAAGGUGCUGUUGCCACCAUCUUAAUGAUGAGGGGCUAAGUAAAUUGAAGCUAAAUAACUUACUCAGGCAAGUAGUAGAGCCAGAAUUUGAAUCCGCGAAAUUUACUUGGGAACACAAACUGUUAACUACUGUGCUAUAAUGUACUGUAGCCUGCAUAAUAUUUGAAGAUUUAUACGCAAAUUGGUGGUCCUGUCUUCUUGAGGGUGAAGGAGAUACUGCAUAUGUAUGGAUCCCCACUCAAUUUGUAGUGAUAUAUGUAGGUUAUAGCUGGUGGAAAAGGAUAGUCAUCUGCAGGGCCUCCCAGUUUCAUCAGUCCUCUCUUUAGUCAUGCUGGCUUAUUUCCAGACAUUAGAUUACACCUUGACCUCCCUUCUCCAGUAAUUUACAUGGAGAUAAAAAUAAUGUCUAUUUUAUAAAAUAAGACCAAUUUGGGCACGGUGGCUCCUGCCUGUAAUCCCAGCACUCUGGGAGGCUGAGAUGGGCGGAUCACCUGAGGUCAGGAGUUCGAGACCAGCCUGGCCAGCAUGUGAAACCCUGUCUCUACUAAAAAUACAAAAAUUAGCCGGGUGUGGUGGUGGGUGCCUGUAAUCCCAGCUACUUGGGAGACUGAGGCAGGAGAAUCGCUUGAACCCAGGAGGCGGAGGUUGCAGUGAGCCGAGAUCACACCAUUGCACUCCAUCCUGGGUGACAGAGUGAAACUCCGUCUAAAAAAAAAAAAAAAAAAAAACCCACACCAUUUAUUUUUGUGUCACCCUGUUUAAAAAAUGUCUCUUGUGUGAUACAUCGUUUGAUAAUUUAAACAGUCUUCAAUUCCUCACUUAGAUAUUGCCACCUUGGAUGUGUUUGCCCCUAUUGAUCUCAGCCCUCUUUAGUAUGAUUCUCAGCAGUUCACAAUCAUUUGUAUGAAACAUUGCUCCUAAUAACAUAGGUGUUUCCCCAGUUGGCCUAUAAGGCAUUUAAGGGAAAGGACCAUGCUGUUCUCUGGAGCCCUGACACCUAGGACACAAUUGGAAUUUUAGUGCUUCAAUUAGAUCUACUCUACCACCCUUUGAGUAGAAAUUAUUUAUAACACUUUUAAAGUGAGGAAACUAAAGCUUCUUGGUGAUAAAAUAUUUUGUUCUAAGUCAACAAGGCAGGAAAGUACAGUCAUGACUCGAAGUCAAACAUAAUCUCCAGGAUGGUGGACAAGUCUAGAAAAUGGGUAAGAAGACCCCAAUAUAUGCAGGAAUAUCCGUGCUUCCUAGCAAUACAAAAUUGGAUAUUGACUUACGGAUUGUCUGAAGUUGACCCCUGGGUAAGCCCUAGCCUGGGAACCUGGCCCAGGUCCAGCGUCCCUUUCAACUGAAAAUAGAGAAGACUGCUUCAGCUAAUUUUAGUUCACAGUUUCAAAGAGGUACAUACUGCCUGUUUCUUGGAGGUGUUGGGACUUGCUGGUUUGGGGAUUUUUACUCUUCUUACUUUAUCAUCAAAAACAGUGUAUGAAAAGGGCACUUUAAUAAUCCUUAUGAACACCAUUUCAUUUCAGUCUUGUAAUAAGUGGCAGAUAUUCCAAUUUUAUAGAAGACGACUCAGGUUUAGAAAGAUUGAAAGUGACUUGCUUGUUCAGGUCUUCUCACCAAAUAAGUUUGUACUCUGGAAUUGGACAACCUUGACUUUAUUUAUUUUAUUUUUAUUUUUAUUUUUAUUUUUAUUUUUAUUUGAGACGGAGUCUUUCUCUGUCCCCCAGGCUGGAGUGUGGUGGCGCGAUCUCGGCUCACCGCAACCUCCACCUCCUGGGUUCACGCCAUUCUCCUGCCUCAGCCUCCCGAGUAGCUGGGACCACAGGCGCCCGCCAGCACGCCCGGCUAAUUUUUUUGUAUUUUUUAGUAGAGACGGGGUUUCACCGUGUUAGCCAGGAUGGUCUCGAUCUCCUGACCUCGUGAUCCACCCGCCUCGGCCUCCCAAAGUGCUGGGAUUACAGGCUUGAGCCACCGGGCUCGGCCUAACCUUGACUUUAAACUCUGGCCUGCCACUUAGUGGUUGACUUAUCCUCUCUGAGCUCCUUGUUUACAAAAAUGAGUUAAUGAAAAUUAAUUCACAGAGUUCUUCUUGUGAAGAUGAAAUUGUGUCAUUUUAUUCCUGACAUCCAGUAGGUACUUGGUGACUUGUAGUUUCACUUUCUUCAUUACGUUGAGGAACUACUAGAUGUACUCCUUAUCUUCUAAGAAAUUAAAAUUUAACCCAUUUGGGUUGCUAUCAGUCAGGUUCAUAGAUGGGUGUCUAGUAGCAAGAAUAGAUGCUAAGACAACUAAAUCAAUAUUGAAGGUCUUGCUAGGAGAAUGCAGCUACUUCUAGAUGGGUCUUCUUUGAUUUUCUGGUGCCUGGCACAGAUGCUUGUUUUCUUAAGACAGGAAUUGGAUCUUCACUGGAUUGAUAAUGGCCCAGUAGUUUCUUUUAGGUUGGAUAUUGAAGCUUUUGCAAAGGAAAUUGUUUUUUGGUUAAUUAAUUAUGAUACAGUCCAUUGCUCCAUCAGUGCUUGCAACCAAUUUUUAAGCCAUCUGCAUAGCUGCAUAGCUUUAAUUUCUUUUCUUUUUCUUUCUUUUUUUUUUUGAGAUAGAGUUCCGCUCUUGUUGCCCAGGCUGGAGUGCAGUGGUGCCAUCUCGGCUCACCGCAACCUCCGCUUCCCGGGUUCAAGUGAUUCUCCUGUCUCAGCCUCCUGAGGAGCUGGGAUUACAGGCAUGCGCCACCACACCUGGCUAAUUUUGUAUUUUAGUAGAGAUGGGGUUUCUCCAUGUUGGUCAGGCUGGUCUCUAACUCCCGACCUCAGGUGAUCCGCCUGCCUCGGCCUCCCGAAGUGCUGAGGUUACAGGCGUGAGCCACUGUGCCCGGCCAGCUCUAAUUUCUAAAAGUUUAUUUCUUAGCUAAGGUAGUCAGCAGAUCUUGUGAACAUAAAUGACUAAAAAUGCGGGCCCUAGUAAAGUCUUACUUCCAAGAAAAAACAUGGCUUUUUUAUCUUUUAUUUUCCUGAGAUGUUAGAUGUGAAUUUAGUACCUAAGACACUAUUUUAGGGAAGACAAAUAGCUGUGAGAUCUUCCUUUGGAAUUUCAUUGAGGACUAAGAAUAUUUGUCUUUGUAAAGUGUCCUAUUGUGAGUGGAGACACCUGUGAAAAAGUAGCAGUGUGCUAGUAACUGGAAUUUUUAAUGUGGACUUAAGAUCUCUAAAGUUACAUAAAGACAGCACAAUGGUUUUAUCCAUUAACAUGACACUGGCUAGGUUUCUAGGUUAAAUUAGUUUCUCUUUGGAUUCACAGGGUAUUAAUGAUAUUCUGGCGGUCCUAUCGAUGAAAACAUCAAUCUUUAAAACUAUGGGCCAAUUUGUGUUUGAAUUCACUGAUUGUAGCCAUUUUAAAACUUCAGUGUGCAAAUAAUUGCUUGGAAAGCUUGUUAAAAAUGCACAUUCCUGAGGAUGUGUUCUCCAGUCUGGGGAGGGCCUUGGAAACGUGUAUUCUGAAAAAGCACCAGGUAGUUUUGAGGAUAUGUAUUUUACAUAAUUUCUCUGGGUGAUGAAAAUAAAGUUGGGAAUCUUCUCGUGUUUGUAGUUUUGGAGUUUUUAGAUUUUAGAAUGAAUGGUAGAUGAAAACUGCCUUGGUCACUUUGUCUUCCAGGGAGCACAGAUGAAGUAGUUGGCUUGUGGCAGUGUUCUUCAAACUUGGAUGUGCAUCAGAAUCACCAAGAGGGCUUAUUAAAGUUUCUGAUGCAGUAGAUCUGGAGCUGGGCCUGAUAAUUUACAUUUCUAACAGAGUCUGGGUGAUACUGAUGCUCCUAGUCCAGGGCCCACACUUUGAGAUGGUUGGUUUGUAGUUAGGGACCACGUUGCAGGAAAAAUACUAAUCGCACGAUUAAUUAAGGUGAGAUGCACAUAGCAAGAGAGCAUAUGGACAGUGGGUCUAACUGGGAAGAGCAGAUUUGCACCUCUCACCUCAUGAUCGAUUCCAGGCAUAGGCUUCAUGAAUAAAACAAUGGAUGGAAUUGUCUACGUUGGUGAUAUUUUUGUCUUAAAAAUCAAGUGCAUAUAGUUGAAUUUAUGUAUGUUAAAUUUGUGUCUGGGCUGGGCACGGUGGCUCACACCUGUAAUCUCAGCACUUUGGGAGGUGGAGGCGGGCGGAUCAACUGAGGUCAGAAGUUCGUGACCAGCCUGGGCAACAUGGUGAAACCCUGUCUCUACUGAAAAAAAAAAAAAAAAACCAAAAA